rnacentral:rRNA from 1 species
CCGCACAAGCGGUGAGUAUGUGGUUUAAUUCGAUGCAACGCGAAGAACCUUACCUGGUCUUGACAUCCCGGAGACCCUUAGGAAACUAGGGGGUGCUUCCAUCUGGAAGAAUCUGGAGACAGGUGCUGCAUGGCUGUCGUCAGCUCGUGUCGUGAGAUGUUGGGUUAAGUCCCGCAACGAGCGCAACCCUUGCCUUUAGUUGCCAGCAGUUCGGCUGGGCACUCUAAAGGGACUGCCGGUGUUAAACCAGAGGAAGGUGGGGAUGACGUCAAGUCCUCAUGGCCUUUAUGACCAGGGCUACACACGUACUACAAUGGCCGAUACAAAGGGCAGCGACACUGCGAGGUGAAGCCAAUCCCGUAAAAUCGGUCUCAGUCCGGAUUGGAGUCUGCAACUCGACUCCAUGAAGUUGGAAUCGCUAGUAAUCGUGGAUCAGCAUGCCACGGUGAAUACGUUCCCGGGCCUU